AACGAACGCUGGCGGCAGGCUUAACACAUGCAAGUCGAGCGAGACCUUCGGGUCUAGCGGCGGACGGGUGAGUAACGCGUGGGAACGUGCCCUUCUCUACGGAAUAGCCCCGGGAAACUGGGAGUAAUACCGUAUACGCCCUUUGGGGGAAAGAUUUAUCGGAGAAGGAUCGGCCCGCGUUGGAUUAGGUAGUUGGUUGGGUAAUGGCCCACUAAGCCGACGAUCCAUAGCUGGUUUGAGAGGAUGAUCAGCCACACUGGGACUGAGACACGGCCCAGACUCCUACGGGAGGCAGCAGUGGGGAAUCGUAGACAAUGGGGGCAACCCUGAUCUAGCCAUGCCGCGUGAGUGAUGAAGGCCUUAGGGUUGUAAAGCUCUUUCAGCUGGGAAGAUAAUGACGGUACCAGCAGAAGAAGCCCCGGCUAACUCCGUG
rnacentral:rRNA from 1 species